GAAGCUGACCAGACAGUCGCCGCUUCGUCGUCGUCCUUUCGGGGAGACGGGCGGAGGGGAGGAAAGUCCGGGCUCCAUAGGGCAGGGUGCCGGUAACGCCGGGGAAACCCACGACCAGUGCAACAGAGAGCAAACCGCCGAUGGCCCACGUAAGUGGGAUCAGGUAAGGGUGAAAGGGUGCGGUAAGAGCGCACCGCGCGGCUGGUAACAGUCCGUGGCACGGUAAACUCCACCCGGAGCAAGGCCAAAUAGGGGUUCAUAAGGUACGGCCCGUACUGAACCCGGGUAGGCUGCUUGAGCCAGUGAGCGAUUGCUGGCCUAGAUGAAUGACUGUCCACGACAGAACCCGGCUUAUCGGUCAGCUUCACUU
rnacentral:RNase_P_RNA from 1 species